AUAUUAAUGUUUUGUCACUGUUACUAUGUUUAGAAUUAUUUCUACUUAAAGCCUUCACUUUACAAGUGAUCAUAAUAGUAAAAUAACUCUGGUUUCAAAAGAUGACAAUGGAUUGUUCUUCCUUCUGGAAGGGCCAGAUAGAGUUUAAAAGUUCCCCUGAUUUUGUAUCAGCACCACCACCCACAAUUACAAAUUAAAACUUUACAAAGCUCCUUCCUCUUGAAAUACUUGAGGAAAAAAAGAAACUGAAGAAAAAUUUACUGAUAAAAUUGGUACCUGCAAUGUGUAUGUCUGUAUGUGAGUGCGAGUGCCCAAGGAGACCAGGUACCAGUGGAUGUGGAUCCCUUGAAGCUGAAGUUAUAGGUAUGAACACGUGAUAUGGAACUGAACUCAAAUCCCACGCAAGAACAGAUUACUCAAUUAAAUACUGAGCAGUGACUCUUCAGCCCCUUUUAAGGGAAGCUAGAGAGAGUGUGUCUUUUUAUGUGUAUUCAAAGAACUAAAUUAAAAGCCUGUAAAAAAGUUGAGCAUUUAAUGGCUGAAUUAUCUCUGCAGCCCAACAUCCACAAUUAUAAUUUAACAAAAGAUUUAAAUUUUUUAUGUGUUUGUUUGAAAACAUGCAUGUGUGUGCACUCUGUGUGUGCCUUCAGAGACCAGAAAAGGGUACCAUUAGUGGAAAUGGAAUGAAGGAUGAUUGGGAGUCACCAAGGGGUGCUGGAAACCAAACUCAAGGCCUUUGUAGUAGCAGCAAGUGCACUUAAUUGGUGAGCCAUCUCUCCCAAACCUGUAAUUGUUAUUUAAUAAAAGUGAAACACAUUGUAGAGUCAUAGCUUGUUCUUUGUAACUUCUAUGGGGAUUCACACAGUUUAUGUAAGUCUCUAUAAUUCAUGUAACAUAUUUAAUUUCACUUGUGAUUAUCAUUAGCUACUAAAAGUGAAUCUAGUUUGUUACAGCAGGAACCUUGUAGGAAAGCUAACUAUGUGUUGUCAGUGGUGAAUAAAUAACCAUUCAGUUAUUAUUUUUGAAGUAACUUGCUUGAAAUUAAGCAUCUAUGUGUUCAAGAAUUGAGGCUGAAGAAUAGGUUCUGUGAGAAAUAACAUAGCCUGAGUAAACAUGCCUGAUCUUAUGAAAAACUCACUUUGGAGCAUUUUCCAACAUACUGUGGCAGAACAAACACCCAAACAAAGCCUGAAAGGAAAAUACGAUUUUAACAGUUUGUACAGUUACAAAUCUCAAGUAUCCAUAAAAUGAUGUUUCCUUAAUACUGUUGCUAGAAUCAUGAAAAUACACAAUUGAAAAGUUAGGUUACCAUUUUCUUCACUGUUUUCUCUUUCAGAACUGUACCCACUGCAUUAGUUAUUAGAGUUCUGGACCGAAGUUUUCCCUGAUCCCAGACCAAGAUGUCAACACUCAGUUUCUAGCCCCAGCCAUCAUUCCUAUGCUCUGUCAUCGUGGACUCUUAACCCUUUGGAACUGUAAGCUCCAAUAAACUCUUCUAUAAACUG